rnacentral:rRNA from 1 species
AAUAGAUACCCCGGUAGUCCAUGCCGUAAACGUUGGGCACUAGGUGUGGGACCCAUUCCACGGGUUCCGUGCCGCAGCUAACGCAUUAAGUGCCCCGCCUGGGGAGUACGGCCGCAAGGCUAAAAACUCAAAGAAAAUUGACGGGGGCCCGCACAAGCGGCGGAGCAUGCGGAUUAAUUCGAUGCAACGCGAAGAACCUUACCAAGGCUUGACAUACACCGGAAAAGUGCAGAGAUGUGCUCCCCGUAAGGUCGGUGUACAGGUGGUGCAUGGUUGUCGUCAGCUCGUGUCGUGAGAUGUUGGGUUAAGUCCCGCAACGAGCGCAACCCUCGUCCCAUGUUGCCAGCGGGUUAUGCCGGGGACUCAUGGGAGACUGGCCGGGGUCAACUCGGAGGAAGGUGGGGAUGACGUCAAAUCAUCAUGCCCCUUAUGUCUUGGGCUUCACGCAUGCUACAAUGGCCGGUACAAAGGGCUGCGAUACCGUAAGGUGAGCGAAUCCCAAAAAGCCGGUCUCAGUUCGGAUUGGGGUCUGCAACUCGACCCCAUGUAAC